rnacentral:rRNA from 1 species
AUACGGAGGGUGUGAGCGUUAAUCGGAAUUACUGGGCGUAAAGCGUACGUAGGCGGUUGGUUAAGUUAGAUGUGAAAGCCCCGGGCUUAACCUGGGAACUGCAUUUAAAACUGGCGAACUAGAGUUGAGUAGAGGGGAGUGGAAUUUCAGGUGUAGCGGUGAAAUGCGUAGAGAUCUGAAGGAACACCAGUGGCGAAGGCGACUCCCUGGACUCGAACUGACGCUGAGGUACGAAAGCGUGGGUAGCAAACGGGAUUAGAAACCCCAGUAGUCC